rnacentral:rRNA from 1 species
GACGAACGCUGGCGGCGUGCUUAACACAUGCAAGUCGAACGGAAAGGCUCUGCUUUUGUGGGGUGCUCAAGUGGCGAACGGGUGAGUAACACGUGAGUAACCUGCCCUUGACUUUGGGAUAACUUCAGGAAACUGGGGCUAAUACCGGAUAGGAGCUCCUGCGGCAUGGUGGGGGUUGGAAAGUUUCGGCGGGUGGGGAUGGACUCGCGGCUUAUCAGCUUGUUGGUGGGGUAGUGGCUUACCAAGGCUUUGACGGGUAGCCGGCCUGAGAGGGUGACCGGCCACAUUGGGACUGAGAUACGGCCCAGACUCCUACGGGAGGCAGCAGUGGGGAAUAUUGCACAAUGGGCGGAAGCCUGAUGCAGCAACGCCGCGUGCGGGAUGACGGCCUUCGGGUUGUAAACCGCUUGCGCCUGUGACGAAGCGUGAGUGACGGUAAUGGGUAAAGAAGCACCGGCUAACUACGUG